GACGUAGGGCGCGAGCGUUGUCCGGAUUUAUUGGGCGUAAAGAGCUCGUAGGCGGCUUGUCGCGUCGACUGUGAAAUCCCGCGGCUCAACUGCGGGUCUGCAGUCGAUACGGGCAGGCUAGAGUUCGGUAGGGGAGACUGGAAUUCCCGGUGUAGCGGUGAAAUGCGCAGAUAUCAGGAGGAACACCGAUGGCGAAGGCAGGCCUCUGGGCCGAUACUGACGCUGAGGAGCGAAAGCGUGGGGAGCGAACAGG
rnacentral:rRNA from 1 species